AUUCAGCUGACGAGUCUCAAAAAAGACGAAACAUACAUCCUGGAU
rnacentral:hammerhead_ribozyme from 1 species